rnacentral:rRNA from 1 species
UACGGAGGGGGCUAGCGUUGUUCGGAAUUACUGGGCGUAAAGCGCACGUAGGCGGACUGUUAAGUCGGGGGUGAAAGCCCGGGGCUCAACCCCGGAAUUGCCUUCGAUACUGGCAGUCUCGAGUCCGAGAGAGGUGAGUGGAAUUCCGAGUGUAGAGGUGAAAUUCGUAGAUAUUCGGAGGAACACCAGUGGCGAAGGCGGCUCACUGGCUCGGUACUGACGCUGAGGUG